rnacentral:piRNA from 1 species
UGGUAAUUCAAGUUGCCGCGC